rnacentral:rRNA from 1 species
UAGUGGCGAGCGAACGCGGAGGAGGCCAAACCGGAGGAUUUAUUCUCCGGGGUUCGGACUUGCAUCAAGAUCAGAGGAAUCUAAAAGAACGGCAUGGGAAGGCCGGCCACAGAGGGUGAGAGCCCCGUAUUUGAAAGGUGAGACUGACAGCGAGUAUCCAGAGUACCGCGGGACACGAGGAACCCCGUGGGAAAACGGGUGGACCACCAUCCAAGCCUAAAUACUACCUGAUGACCGAUAGAGGAGCAGUACCGUGAGGGAAAGGUGAAAAGGACCCCGGGAGGGGAGUGAAAGAGAACCUGAAACCUUGUGCUUACAAGCACUCAAAGCACGUUAAUGUGUGAUGAGGUACUUUUUGUAGAACGGUCCGGCGAGUUAUAGUAACGAGCAAGCUUAAGGUAUUCAGUACCGGAGGCGAAGCGAAAGCGAGUCUGAAUAGGGCGCAUGAAGUUCGUUGCCAUAGACCCGAAACCGGGUGACCUAACCAUGAGCAGGCUGAAGUGAGAGUAAAAUCUCAUGGAGGGCCGAACGCACGUUCGUUGCAAUGACCGGCGAUGACUUGUGGUUAGCGGAGAAAUUCCAAUCGAACUCGGAGAUAGCUGGUUCUCCCCGAAAUAGCUUUAGGGCUAGCGUUAUCUUAGAUUACCGGAGGUAAAGCACUGAAUGGGCUAGGGGGCGAUAAGCUUACUGAACCCUAUCAAACUCAGAAUGCCGGCUAAUUGAUGGAUAGCAGUCAGACAGUGUGAGAUAAGUUUCAUUGUCAAAAGGGAAACAGCCCAGACCCACAGCUAAGGUCCCAAAUGUAUGCUAAGUGGAAAACGAUGUGGAAUUGCGAAAACAACCAGGAUGUUGGCUUAGAAGCAGCCACUCAUUAAAAGAGUGCGUAAUAGCUCACUGGUCGAGUGACUCUGCGCGGAAAAUAUAACGGGGCUAAGCAUACAACCGAAGCUUGGGAUUGUCUAAAGACAGUGGUAGGGGAGCGUCGUGUAUGGGGUGAAGUCGCAUCGGAAGGAGCGGUGGACUGUACACGAGUGAGAAUGCCGGAAUGAGUAGCGAGAAUUAUGUGGGAAUCAUAAUGGCCGAAAAUCUAAGGUUUCUUGGGGAAGGUUCGUCCGCCCAAGGUAAGCCGGGAGCUAAGGCGAGGCCGCAAGGCGUAGUCGAUGCACAUACGGUAAAGAUUCCGUAGCCGCCGAACUUUAAGUCAGAGGGACACUUGCAGAUAGCGGAACCCAGCCGUUGGUUGAGCUGGGCGAAAGGGACUGAAAUUAGUAGGGAAGUCCGCGAUGCUGAAAGGCGAGAAAAGCUCUGAUGGAUACUAAGGCGCCCGUACCGCAAACCGACACAGGUAGAUGAGGAGAGAAUCCUAAGGCCAACGGGAGAAGGGUUGUUAAGGAACUCGGCAAAUUGACCCCGUAACUUCGGAAGAAGGGGAGCCCCGAAAGGGGCCGCAGUGAAUAGGCCCAAGCAACUGUUUACCAAAAACACAGGUUUAUGCUAAAUCGAAAGAUGACGUAUAUGAGCUGACGCCUGCCCGGUGCCGGAAGGUUAAGAGGAGAGCUUAGAGGCAACUCGAAGGUUUGAAUUGAAGCCCCGGUAAACGGCGGCCGUAACAAUAACGGUCCUAAGGUAGCGAAAUUCCUUGUCAGGUAAGUUCUGACCCGCACGAAUGGCGUAAUGAUUUGGGCACUGUCUCAACAGCCCGCCCGGCGAAAUUGUAGUACUGGUGAAGAUGCCAGUUACCCGCAACUAGACGGAAA